rnacentral:rRNA from 1 species
UACGUAGGGGGCUAGCGUUGUCUGGAAUCAUUGGGCGUAAAGAGCGUGUAGGCGGCCCGGUAAGUCCGCUGUGAAAGUCGGGGGCUCAACCCUCGAAAGCCGGUGGAUACUGUCGGGCUAGAGUGCGGAAGAGGCGAGUGGAAUUCCUGGUGUAGCGGUGAAAUGCGCAGAUAUCAGGAGGAACACCGAUUGCGAAGGCAGCUCGCUGGGACGUAACUGACGCUGAGGCGCGAAAGCUAGGGGAGCAAACAGG